AGAGUUUGAUCAUGGCUCAGGACGAACGCUGGCGGCGCGCCUAACACAUGCAAGUCGAACGAGCGAGAGGAGGUUUACUUUCUCAAGCGAGUGGCGAACGGGUGAGUAACGCGUGAGGAACCUGCCUCAAAGAGGGGGACAACAGUUGGAAACGACUGCUAAUACCGCAUAAGCCCACGACCCGGCAUCGGGUAGAGGGAAAGGAGCAAUCCGCUUUGAGAUGGCCUCGCGUCCGAUUAGCUGGUUGGUGAGGUAACGGCCCACCAAGGCGACGAUCGGUAGCCGGACUGAGAGGUUGAACGGCCACGAUUCGGGACUGAGACACGGCCCAGACUCCUACGGGAGCA
rnacentral:rRNA from 1 species